rnacentral:rRNA from 1 species
GGAAAGGUGAAAAGAACCCCGAACAGGGGAGUGAAAUAGAACCUGAAACCAUACGCUUACAACCGGUCGGAGCAGCUUCGUGCUGUGACGGCGUGCCUAUUGAAUAAUGAGCCUACGAGUUACUAAUCACUAGCGAGGUUAAGUGCAAGGAUGCACGGAGCCGAAGCGAAAGCGAGUCUGAACAGGGCGUUUAGUUAGUGGUUGUAGACGCGAAACCUUGCGAUCUACCCUUGAGCAGGUUGAAGGUUGGGUAAAACCAACUGGAGGACCGAACGAAUAAGCGUUGAAAAGCUUCUCGAUGACUUGAGGGUAGGGGUGAAAGGCUAAUCAAGCUGGGAAAUAGCUCGUACUCCCCGAAAUGCCUUUAGGGGCAGCGUUGUAAUAAAGAGUCUACUGGAGGUAGAGCUACUGAUUGGAUGCGGGGGCUUCACCGCCUACCAAAUCCUGACAAACUCCGAAUGCCAGUAGUAUGAUUUACAGCAGUGAGUGACUGGGUGCUAAUGUCCAGUCGCAAAAGAGGAACAACUCAGACCAGCAACUAAGGUCCCGAAGAAUAUGCUAAGUUGAUCUAACGAUGUUUUGUUGCAGAGACAGCUAGGAUGUUAGCUUGGAAGCAGCUAUUCAUUCAAAGAGUGCGUAACAGCUCACUAGUCGAGCGACAGAGCGUGGAUAAUAAACGGGCAUCAAGCAUAUCACCGAAGUUCUGGGCGCGAGAGCGCGGUAGGGGAGCAUUCCAUUCAGCGUCGAAGCAGUUUCGUGAGGAAUUGUGGAGCGUAUGGAAAAGCAAAUGUAGGCAUGAGUAACGAUAAUGCGGGAGAGUAACCCGCACACCGCAAGACCAAGGUUUCCUGAUCAACGCUAAUCGGAUCAGGGUUAGUCGGGUCCUAAGGGUAAGCCGAACGGCGAUCUCGAUGGAUAAUCGGUUAAUAUUCCGAUACUAACAUAUACCUCGAUGGAGAGACGAAGGAACGUAAGUGCCGCCACCUGACGGAAUAGGUGGUUAAAGGGCGUAGGUAUAGGGGCAGAUUAAGAGUUAGUCCUUGCUGAAACCUGACAGUACAGAGAGCCUACGGGCAAUUUGAUAGAGCACCCAAGUCGACUUCCGAGAAAAUCUUCUAAGUUAUAGUAUAUGUUACCCGUACCGUAAACCGACACAGGUGGUCGAGGAGAGUAUCCUAAGGUGCUCGAGUGAAUCACGGUUAAGGAACUAGGCAAAUUAACCCCGUAACUUCGGGAAAAGGGGUCCCUAUGAAAGUAGGGCGCAGCGAAGAGGUCCAGGCGACUGUUUAUCAAAAACACAGGGCUCUGCAAAUUCGAAAGAAGACGUAUAGGGCCUGACACCUGCCCGGUGCUGGAAGGUUAAGAGGGGAUGUCAUCGCAAGAGAAGCAUUGAAUCGAAGCCCCAGUAAACGGCGGCCGUAACUAUAACGGUCCUAAGGUAGCGAAAUUCCUUGUCGGGUAAGUUCCGACCUGCACGAAUGGUGUAACGAUCUGGACACUGUCUCAACCGUGAGCUCGGUGAAAUUGUAGUAUCGGUGAAGAUGCCGAUUACCCGCGAUGGGACGAAAAGACCCCGUGAACCUUUACUAUAGCUUAACAUUGAAUUUGGGUAAUUGAUGUGUAGGAUAGGCCGGAGGCUUUGAAGCAGGUACGCCAGUAUUUGUGGAGCCGCUGUUGAAAUACGGCCCUUUGAUUAUUUGAGUUCUAACCCGUUGUUGCGGGGACACUGUUUGGUGGGUAGUUUGACUGGGGUGGUCGCCUCCAAAAGCGUAACGG